rnacentral:rRNA from 1 species
GACGAACGCUGGCGGCGUGCUUAACACAUGCAAGUCGAACGAAGUGGCGAACGGGUGAGUAACGCGUAAUCAACCUGCCCUUCAGAGGGGGACAACAGUUGGACACGACUGCUCAUACCGCAUACUGAAGGAGGGGAUUGCGUCUGAUUAGCUAGUUGGAUGGGUAACGGCCCAACAAGGCGAUGAUCAGUAGCCGGGCUGGGAGGAUGAACGGCCACAGUGGGACUGAGACACGGCCCAGACUCCUACGGGAGGCAGCAGUUGGGAAACUUCCGCAAUGGACGGAAGGCUGACGGAGCAACGCCGCGUGAGGGAUGACGGCCUUCGGGUUGUAAAGCUCUGUUAAUCGGGACGCGGUACCGGAAUAGAAAGCCACGGCUAACUACGUGCCAGCCGCCGCGGUAAUUC